CUGCUAUCGAGGUUCGACUAAGCCAUGCGAGUCGAAUGUAGCAAUACAUGGCGUACUGCUCAGUAACACGUGGAUAACCUACCCUUGAGUCGGGGAUAAACCCGGGAAACUGGGUAUAAUACCCGAUAGAUCUCGACUGCUGGAAUGCAUCGAGCUCUAAAGCUCCGGCGCUCAAGGAUGGAUCUGCGGCCUAUCAGGUAGUAGUGGGUGUAGCGUACCUACUAGCCUACGACGGGUACGGGUUGUGAGAGCAAGAGCCCGGAGAUGGAUUCUGAGACACGAAUCCAGGCCCUACGGGGUGCAGCAGGCGCGAAAACUUUACAAUGCUGGAAACAGCGAUAAGGGGACCUCGAGUGCCAGGUUACAAAUCUGGCUGUCGUGAUGCCUAAAAAGCAUUGCAUAGCAAGGGCCGGGCAAGACCGGUGCCAGCCGCCGCGGUAACACCGGCGGCUCGAGUGGUAACCGUUAUUAUUGGGUCUAAAGGGUCUGUAGCCGGCCGGAUAAGUCUCUUGGGAAAUCUGGCAGCUUAACUGUCAGGCUUUCAGGAGAUACUGUCUGGCUCGAGGCCGGGAGAGGUGAGAGGUACUUCAGGGGUAGGGGUGAAAUCUUGUAAUCCUUGAAGGACCACCAGUGGCGAAGGCGUCUCACCAGAACGGACCUGACGGCAAGGGACGAAAGCUAGGGGCACGAACCGGAUUAGAUACCCGGGUAGUCCUAGCCGUAAACGAUACUCGCUAGGUGUCGGCCACGGUGCGACCGUUGUCGGUGCCGUAGGGAAGCCGUGAAGCGAGCCACCUGGGAAGUACGGCCGCAAGGCUGAAACUUAAAGGAAUUGGCGGGGGAGCACCACAACGGGUGGAGCUUGCGGUUUAAUUGGAUUCAACGCCGGAAAUCUUACCGGGACCGACAGCAAUAUGAAGGCCAGGCUGAAGACUUUGCCGGAUUAGCUGAGAGGUGGUGCAUGGCCGUCGUCAGUUCGUACUGUGAAGCAUCCUGUUAAGUCAGGCAACGAGCGAGACCCACGCCCACAGUUGCCAGCGUACUCUCCGGAGUGACGGGUACACUGUGGGGACCGCCGCUGCUAAAGCGGAGGAAGGAAUGGGCAACGGUAGGUCAGUAUGCCCCGAAUAUCCCGGGCUACACGCGAGCUACAAUGGUUGGUACAAUGGGUAUCUACCCCGAAAGGGGAUGGAAAUCUCCUAAAGCC
rnacentral:rRNA from 1 species